UACGGGGGGAGCAAGCGUUGUUCGGAUUUACUGGGCGUAAAGGGCGUGUAGGCGGUGCAACAAGUCACUUGUGAAAUCUCCGGGCUUAACCCGGAGCGGCCAAGUGAUACUGUCGUGCUAGAGUGCGGAAGGGGCUACUGGAAUUCUCGGUGUAGCGGUGAAAUGCGUAGAUAUCGAGAGGAACACCUGAGGUGUAGACGGGUUGCUGGGCUGACACUGACGCUGAUGCGCGAAAGCCAGGGGAGCGAACGGG
rnacentral:rRNA from 1 species